rnacentral:rRNA from 1 species
UACGGAGGGUGCAAGCGUUGUCCGGAAUCACUGGGCGUAAAGGGCGCGUAGGCGGCUCGGUAAGUAGGGGGUGAAAUCCUGCGGCUUAACCGCAGGGCUGCCUUCUAAACUGUCGAGCUCGAGCACGGUAGAGGCAGAUGGAAUUCCCGGUGUAGCGGUGGAAUGCGUAGAGAUCGGGAAGAACACCAGUGGCGAAGGCGGUCUGCUGGGCCGUUGCUGACGCUGAGGCGCGACAGCGUGGGGAGCAAACAGG